GACGAACGCUGGCGGCGUGCUUAACACAUGCAAGUCGAACGGAAAGGCCCCUUUGGGGGUACUCGAGUGGCGAACGGGUGAGUAACACGUGAGUAACCUGCCCUUGACUUCGGGAUAACUUCAGGAAACUGGGGCUAAUACCGGAUAGGAAUCCUUGCUGCAUGGUGGGGGUUGGAAAGCUUCGGCGGUUUUGGAUGGACUCGCGGCUUAUCAGCUUGUUGGUGGGGUAGUGGCUUACCAAGGCUUUGACGGGUAGCCGGCCUGAGAGGGCGAGCGGCCACAUUGGGACUGAGGUACGGCCCAGACUCCUACGGGAGGCAGCAGUGGGGAAUAUUGCACAAUGGGCGGAAGCCUGAUGCAGCAACGCCGCGUGCGGGAUGACGGCCUUCGGGUUGUAAACCGCUUUCAGCAGGGGCGAAGCUUGUGGUGACGGUACCUGCAGAAGAAGCACCGGCUAACUACGUG
rnacentral:rRNA from 1 species